CUGUGUGUUAUUUGGGGCCCUAAAGCUGUGGAAGGAACUUGGGUGGCUGGCAGAAAGCGCCCAUGUGGCAGCAGGGCUUGGGUGGUUUUAGCGGAAAGAUUUAUUGUUACACCCUUUAGAUCAUGGGCAUGCCACUUUAAGACCAAAUUGACAUCUUUAGGUCUGUACCUUGAGACAAAGAACAGACAAGCCCCUUACUGCUCUGCUCUGUCUCGUAGGAUGGGUUUUAAUAGGGUGUGUAAACAAAUGUGCCUCCUUAUCUCUGCCACUGGUGUCCACUCUAGAUAACCACUGAUGCAAGAAAUUGAUUACAUUGCAUACAAAUAUGUCACUCUGAUUGGUUUAAUAAAGACCUGAAUGGCCAAGAGCUAGGCCUGGUUUCCACACACAGAAGAUGCUGGGAAGAAGAAGGGUGGAGUCACGAGGAGAUGCCAUGAGACACAGCCUGCAGGAUGGACAAUACGGAGAUGAGUAACAGGCAGGCUUGGGAGCCAAACCAAGUGAAAGACCCGCUCGAAAUGCCCCUGAGCCCCCUGCCCCGAAGCUGCCGGGGCCUCCCAAGCCUUCACCCCGGCAGGGCUCGCGCCCCCGGCCCGCCCCGCCUGGCACCGAGCCUCGGGGCUGGGGCCGAGCAACGAGCACCAGAUGGGCAGGCCCGAGAACGAGCACCAGGUAGGCUGGGGCCGAGCAACGAGCACCAGGUGGGCCGGCACGAGGGCGAGCACCAGGUGGGCCGGCACGAGGGCGAGCACCAGGUGGGCCGGCACGAGGGCGAGCACCAGGUGGGCCGGCACGAGGGCGAGCACCAGGUGGGCCGGCACGAGGGCGAGCACCAGGUGGGCCGGCACGAGGGCGAGCACCAGGUGGGCCGGCACGAGAGCGAACACCAAGGGAGCCGGCCUGGAGCCCUGCCCCUGAGCCCCGCCCGAUGAGAAACACUCCGUCCCAAGGUCUCCGCCCCCAAGGUCAGCCAUCUGGACGCGGAGGGAGGGGGAAUUGAGUCUGUUGUACCAG
rnacentral:lncRNA from 1 species